CUCUACAUUUAUCAGUGUCAUGUCUCCUUUCUACUCCUAGAGCAUGGAACUCAUCCUCAGCACCACUUCAUGGCCCAGAAUGGUUGCUGUGGGUGCAUCUGUCACAUGCCCAUUCCAAGCCCCAGGAUAAAGCAGGAAACUGAGGUUCCCACAAGAAAUGACAGCCAGUGAGUGAUGUCCGCAUGAGACUUGUGUGCCUAUCCAGGUCCUCUUGGCCUCCUCUGGCUGUCGUUCCAGGGGCUGCCUUAACACCCAGCUCAGCAUGAGUUCCACAAACCUCAGGCAGAUGUGACCUGAGAGCACCUCGUCCAGCACCCCUCACAGCCUGACCUGUUGCCUCCCGUCCUGGGCUUCCCUGUGACCUCAACUCCACAGUGUCUGUUGCCACUUGUGCAUGCCCAGGCCAUAAGAACUGGAGGAUUAAUGCUCCACUGUGCAAAACUUUCAUCAGUGGGAGACAGAUCCAGGAUGCUCUGCUGCUACCUUGUUAUGGUUUGGAUAUGGAAAAGCUCACCUGUGAGACAAUGAAAGAAGGUUCAAGAGAAGAAAUGAUGUGGUUAUAAGAACCUUAACCCAAUCAGUGAAUUAAUCCCCUCAUGAGAUUAACUGAGUGGAAACUGCAGGCGGGUAGCGUGUGGCUGGAGGAGGUGGACAUUGAGGGGUGUGCCUUUGUAUCUUGUAUCUGGAGGGUGGAGUCUCUCUCUGCUUUCUAAUAGUCAUGUGAGCUGCUUCCCUCCACCACACUCUUCUGCCAUGAUGUUCACCUUCACCUCAAACCCCAAGGAAUGGGGCUGGCUGUUUGUGACAUGAAGCCUCUGAAACUGUGAGUCCCCAAAUAAAUUCCUUCUCA
rnacentral:lncRNA from 1 species